rnacentral:tRNA from 1 species
GGCGCCUUGGACAAGUGGUUAAGUUACUGCCCUCUCAAGGCAGUGUCACCGGUUCAAAUCCGGUAGGCGUCA